rnacentral:rRNA from 1 species
AUGUCUCAAAACACACUGACUAACAGUAAAUUUGCGGACGGCUCCUUACAACAGAGAUUAUUUCUUUGAACUUGAUUUCCUACAUGGAUAACUGUGGUAAUUCUAGAGCUAAUACAUGCACCAAAUCUCCGACUGUCUCAGAAGGAGAGCAUUUAUUAGACUAUGCCAAUCGGGCUUGCCCGUCUUUGGUGACUCUGAAUAACUCAGCUGAUCGCAUGGUCUCGUACCGGCGACGUAUCAAUCAAGUCUCUGCCUUAUCAACUUUCGAUGGUAGUUUAUGUGCCUACCAUGGUUGUAACGGGUAACGGAGAAUCAGGGUUCGACUCCGGAGAGGGAGCCUGAGAAACGGCUACCACAUCUAAGGAAGGCAGCAGGCGCGUAAAUUACCCACUCUCGAUACGAGGAGGUAGUGACUAUUAAUAACGAGACCGUUCUCUAUGAGGCCGGUUAUCGGAAUGGGUACAAUUUAAACCCUUUAACGAGGAUCUAUGAGAGGGCAAGUCUGGUGCCAGCAGCCGCGGUAAUUCCAGCUCUCAAGGUGUAUAUCGUCAUUGCUGCGGUUAAAAAGCUCGUAGUUGGAUCUGAGCCUCUGGACUUGGUUCACCAAUGGUGUUAACUGAGCUCCUGGGCUAUAUAUGCUAGUUAUCGUGAGUGGCCUUAAACAGCUGCUUUCGAGGGCUGGCAAGUUUACCUUGAAAAAAUUAGAGUGCUUAACACAGGCGUUUCGCUUGAAUAUUCGUGCAUGGAAUAAUAGAAGAGGACUUCGGUUCUAUUUUAUUGGUGUCGGAUCUGAAGUAAUGGUUAAGAGGGACUGACGGGGGCAUCCGUAUCGUUGCGUGAGAGGUGAAAUUCUUGGACCGCAACGGGACGCUCUACUGCGAAAGCAUUUGCCAAGAAUGUCUUCAUUAAUCAAGAACGAAAGUCAGAGGAUCGAAGGCGAUUAGAUACCGCCCUAGUUCUGACCGUAAACGAUGCCUACUAGCGACCAGUCGGAGGUUCUUACGCCCUGACUGGGAGCUUCCCGGAAACGAAAGUCUUCCGGUUCCGGGGGAAGUAUGGUUGCAAAGCUGAAACUUAAAGAAAUUGACGGAAGGGCACCACCAGGAGUGGAGCCUGCGGCUUAAUUUGACUCAACACGGGAAAACUCACCCGGCCCGGACACUGUUAGGAUUGACAGAUUGAGAGCUCUUUCAUGAUUCGGUGGUUGGUGGUGCAUGGCCGUUCUUAGUUGGUGGAGCGAUUUGUCUGGUUUAUUCCGAUAACGAGCGAGACUCUAGCCUACUAAAUAGUUACUGGGUUCUUACGCCUAGUGAACUUCUUAGAGGGAUAAGCGGUGUUUAGCCGCACGAGAUUGAGCAAUAACAGGUCUGUGAUGCCCUUAGAUGUCCGGGGCUGCACGCGCGCUACACUGGAAGAAACAGCGUGCUUGAACCAUUGCUGAAAGGCAUUGGCAAACCAAUGAAAGUCUUCCGUGAUCGGGAUAGGGAAUUGCAAUUAUUUCCCUUAAACGAGGAAUUCCCAGUAAGUGUGAGUCAUCAGCUCACGUUGAUUACGUCCCUGCCCUUUGUACACACCGCCCGUCGCUGCCCGGGACUGAGCCGUUUCGAGAAAUGCGAGGACCAUCGCUGUGGGGACUUCGGUUUCCUGCGGUGGAGGGAAUUGCCUUAAUCGCAGUG